UACGUAGGGUGCAAGCGUUGUCCGGAAUUAUUGGGCGUAAAGAGCUCGUAGGCGGUUUGUCGCGUCUGCUGUGAAAUCCCGAGGCUCAACCUCGGGCCUGCAGUGGGUACGGGCAGACUAGAGUGCGGUAGGGGAGAUUGGAAUUCCUGGUGUAGCGGUGGAAUGCGCAGAUAUCAGGAGGAACACCGAUGGCGAAGGCGCAUCCUGGACCGGCAUUGACGCUGAGUGAGCGAAAGCCAGGGGAGCAAACGGG
rnacentral:rRNA from 1 species